GCGGCCUAUCAGCUUGUUGGUGAGGUAAUGGCUCACCAAGGCGACGACGGGUAGCCGGCCUGAGAGGGCGACCGGCCACACUGGGACUGAGACACGGCCCAGACUCCUACGGGAAGCAGCAGUGGGGAAUAUUGGGCAAUGGAGGAAACUCUGACCCAGCGACGCCGCGUGCGGGAUGAAGGCCUUCGGGUUGUAAACCGCUUUCAGCAGGGAAGAAGCGAAAGUGACGGUACCUGCAGAAGAAGCACCGGCUAACUAUGUGCCAGCAGCCGCGGUAAUACAUAGGGUGCAAGCGUUGUCCGGAAUUAUUGGGCGUAAAGAGCUCGUAGGUGGUUCGUCACGUCGGAUGUGAAAAUCUGGGGCUUAACCCCAGACCUGCAUUCGAUACGGGCGAGCUAGAGUGUGGUAGGGGAGACUGGAAUUCCU
rnacentral:rRNA from 1 species